rnacentral:rRNA from 1 species
UGGGGAAUAUUGCACAAUGGGCGAAAGCCUGAUGCAGCAACGCCGCGUGAGUGAUGAAGGCCUUCGGGUUGUAAAGCUCUGUCUUUUGGGACGAUAAUGACGGUACCAAAGGAGGAAGCCACGGCUAACUACGUGCCAGCAGCCGCGGUAAUACGUAGGUGGCAAGCGUUGUCCGGAUUUACUGGGCGUAAAGGAUGCGUAGGCGGAUUUUUAAGUGAGAUGUGAAAACCCUAAGCUUAACUUGGGGACUGCAUUUCAUACUGGAAAUCUAGAGUGCGGGAGAGGAGAAUGGAAUUCCUAGUGUAGCGGUGAAAUGCGUAGAGAUUAGGAAGAACACCAGUGGCGAAGGCGAUUCUCUGGACCGUAACUGACGCUGAGGCGUGAAAGCGUGGGUAGCAAACAGGAUUAGAUACCCUGGUAGUCCACGCCGUAAACGAUGAGUACUAGGUGUAGGAGGUAUCGACCCCUUCUGUGCCGCAGUUAACACAAUAAGUACUCCGCCUGGGAAGUACGAUCGCAAGAUU